rnacentral:rRNA from 1 species
UAGGGAAUCUUCCACAAUGGACGCAAGUCUGAUGGAGCAACGCCGCGUGAGUGAAGAAGGUUUUCGGAUCGUAAAGCUCUGUUGUUGGUGAAGAAGGAUAGAGGCAGUAACUGGUCUUUAUUUGACGGUAAUCAACCAGAAAGUCACGGCUAACUACGUGCCAGCAGCCGCGGUAAUACGUAGGUGGCAAGCGUUGUCCGGAUUUAUUGGGCGUAAAGCGAGCGCAGGCGGAAUGAUAAGUCUGAUGUGAAAGCCCACGGCUCAACCGUGGAACUGCAUCGGAAACUGUCAUUCUUGAGUGCAGAAGAGGAGAGUGGAACUCCAUGUGUAGCGGUGGAAUGCGUAGAUAUAUGGAAGAACACCAGUGGCGAAGGCGGCUCUCUGGUCUGCAACUGACGCUGAGGCUCGAAAGCAUGGGUAGCGAACAGGAUUAGAUACCCUGGUAGUCCAUGCCGUAAACGAUGAGCGCUAGGUGUUGGGGACUUUCCGGUUCUCAGUGCCGCAGCAAACGCAUUAAGCGCUCCGCCUGGGGAGUACGAC